rnacentral:tRNA from 1 species
UCCCGUUUAGCUCAGCUGGUAGAGCGCGUCACUAGUAUUAUAAAUAUUAGUAAUGACGAGGUCAGUCGUUCAAGUCGGCUAAUGGGAA